CUUCUAACAGAGUCAGACCUGUUUGUUGAUGAAAUGACCGGCUUGCUGACAAAGAGGGGCAUCAAUGGAGAGACAGAUCUAGGCCCUUCUUUGGCAUUUCGAAGAAGCUAGGGUCACAGACCAUCAUGGCAUCAGGAGCUUGAAGCAUCUAGUCUCCUUACAUCCUAUCAGAAGAGGGAUGAACACAUGGCUGCUUCCUAGUUCCUGUUCUCCAGAUUUCAGGUCUAUGGGAGCACGCGGCAGGGUACAAUGUAGCCGCACUACACCAUGGGCUAGUGAGAGCCGGGAGGAGCGACCAUGGCGGAGGAAGGACACAAAGAAAGCAGCUCAAGACCAAGAUGAAGAGAUAGAGGAUCUGAUAAAACCUGCUCCAAGGUACUGACCAGACUUUGGUUUUAUAGAACGCCUUGAUAUGAAGCUGAGAGAGCGAGCGCCUUUGCUGGUGCCAGCGUGGGAAAGGUCUGAGCAGCAAGAGACAAGGACCCACGGAUGAAAUGAGGUGUCUGUCUUCGUGGUGAGAUGACGUGGCUGUCUUGGGAUCCAGAUCUCCUUUUCAUGUAGUUAUCUACAUGUUGGUAAGGCUGGAGCUGAGGACAGGUGGGUGGAGGAGAACGUUUGGCUGCCACGGUAACACGUUCUGCUAUGUACAGAGCUCUUCGGAGAACUGGGCCUCUAGUACAGUCACUUUGAUUUUCUCCAUCUGAUAUAUAAAAAGAUGGGGGCUCCUGGGACUCCAACUCUUGCAGACUGACCUUAACUAGACAGUAAGUACAAGUUAGAAGCCCGGCUCUGCCAGGCCGCACACAACAAAGCCUUCUGUCUAUCAUUCACUGCCCCCUGGUGGAACACACGGGAAACAACAUCUGGAACAAUCGUCUGGACAAUGAUCUCUUUCCUACAGGGGCGGAGGCAAAGAUGCUCUAUGUGGUCAGGUGGAAGGCUGCAAUGCCAUGCAGUGAGAGGGAAGAAGACAGAACUGAGGGCUGGAGAAAAGUGUAGCUGAGCUGAAGAUGCAGGUCUUAUGUGUGCUGUCAGAACAGGAUGAAGAGAGAUGUUGGGAGCUAAGAUUUAGAACCAAAUGGAGACAGACAUACCAGGCAGGUGAAGGGCUGAGGACUAGCUAAAGGGAACAGCCCAAUGUCAUCUAGACAAAUUGAGGAAGUUGAGUCACUGUCCUGUGGCAGGUUCUAAUAAUCCUCUAGCGCUGUUUACAACGGUAGGGUGAGCUCCAUUUUAAGAAAAUCUGGAUGGAACAAAGUGAGUUCCUAAUAGACUGGCCUCAGAAGAAUCCGAUGACUCAAAGAGGUUCAUGGGCAAAUGAAAUAGGAAAGUGAGUCAUUUCACACGGAAGCAGGCAGCCUGACAGGCUUCUCCCCUUGCUCAUAGGUAACCCCCACAUUCCUGCCACAGUCAUCUAUGACGACAGCCCAGGCAGGCCUUGAACUUGCAGACUUCCUGCUUUGGCUUCCCAAAUAGCUGAGAUUACUGGUUUGUGUCACCAGGGGUGACUCUCCCUGGCAAAAUUAGCACCAUUUAACUGUGUGAUUCUGUUUUCCACGAAGCCUAACUCAUCUUCUGUCACUGUCCAGUUUACACUAUAGCCCGCCCCCACCUCCGGCAAUAUGAGCUCUAAGCUGGACCUGAGGCCUCCCUGCUUUUUGGGGUGCUGCUUCACAUUCAAUUGAUGUUGAUUUCACGUCUUAUUUUAUGCUGCUUUGCCUCUGCAAAUGCUAUUGAGGCUUACUGACGUACCCUUCCUCUACCUCUUUAGAUUCCCGGCCCGGUCCUUUUCACCCUCUGAAGCUUCAUCUACCCCCGUACAGAUCUUCUCUAUAGUACUGCUUCUCAACGAUUUUCUCAUUACUGUGCCUGGCUCCCACUCCAGGAUCCCUUUAAGACAGCUUUCCUUAAUCACCUCCUCCUGCCAUGAAAUUUUAAUAUGGUAGAUACACUGUACAUCUGUUUAUGUACUGAGUCCCUCUGGACGACUAUAAAUUACUAUAACACUAAAGUUAGUUCACCUUCAGUAAUGAAUUUUUGCUCCUCCGGGACACCAUCACCCAUGUGGUGAAUGUAUGCAAAACAGGGUCAAACACUGCUAUUCGAAUGUGUCUUUCUGCGGGGAAAGUCAUUCUUGAGACUUCCUAAUUCUUUGACCCCCAACCCCCAGAUAGGGUUUCUUUUUGUUGUCCGGUCUGUCUUGGAACUCCCUCUGUAGACCAGGCUGGCCUCAAAUUCACAGAGAUCCACCUGCCUCUGCCUCCCAAGUGCUGGGAUUCAAGGUGUGUGCCACCAUGCCCAGCUGACCAUCCCUCCUCAAAAUCUCACCAUAGUCUUUUAUGAGCUGCCCAUGUGUGUGUCCUCUGGGGAUGGAGUCCAAAGCUUCACACAUGGUAACUAUGCGCUCUACACUGAGAUAAACCUUAGUUUCCUUUAAUAACUGCCAUUCCGCAAGGCUCAAUAUUUGUUUUAUCUCCUCUAUUUUAUACAUUCUUUCCAGGAGAUGUGGUUUAUUUCCGUAGUUUUAUUAACUACCUAUGAUGCUAUUAAAUAUGAGCCUAUCAUUUCACUAAAGUGCUUGCCCUUAGCUACAGUCUCUUGCUGUUAUUAGCAUAGUCUAUAGGCUAGUGGUGGGCAGCCUCACUGAGGGUUUCUGUCAAUGGAGAUUCCCAGGUUUUGUCCCAGACCUCUUGAACCAGAGUUUGCAUUUUAACAAGCUCCUAAGAUAUUCUGUAUGCAUACUAAAGAUAAAGAAGGCCCAGGGCUGUGUCCUAUUACCAGCUCUCUAACGGAUACUGUUAAUAAGAUGUAAGCACAUUAAUCCUGAUGUACCUCAACAGAAGAGUCAUCUACACACAGAGUCCACGCUGCCCACCUCUUCUAUGUCAUUUCUAUCUACCUGGUCACAUUCCUAGCUGUUCUACUAGUAGAUGGCUCUUGACUCUAUUUCCUCUUCUAUGCUAAUCACUAUUGCUUUCAUCUACUCUGAGGUAGAUUACCAUUGAAGGCCUAGCCGAUUUCCUGAGUCACAGCCUCUCUCCCCCGAAUUUGUCGGCCAACUACAGUUAGAGAUGUAUUUCUAAGCUACAAGCCUGAAAGAGAUGGAACUCGUGGCUAAAUUCCUUUCAGUGACUCUUCAAUGUGGAAGUGAGGGUUCUGGCAUCCAGAACAGGGUUUAGGAAAUCUGAAACUAUAAGGAAAAUUUGUGUUGUUUUCAUUUUCAAGGGACAAAGAAACAGUUUUCAUUAGAUUUUCUGAGGUGUUCUAGGACAAAGUCAGUUAAGAACGACUAAAGAAAGGACCAAGUUGACAAAAUCCAAACUAUUUAGUUUGGCAUAUAAAGA